rnacentral:rRNA from 1 species
GUCUUUUUGUUUUUUAUAUAAGGUCAGACCUGCCCAAUGAAUUUUAAAUGGCCGCAGUACUUUAACUGUGCAAAGGUAGCAUAAUAAUUUGUUUUUUAAUUGGAAACUAGUAUGAAUGGUCAUACGAGGGAUUGACUUUCUUUAUCUUACUUAAAUUAAUUUUAUUUUUCUGUGAAAAAGCAGAGAUUUCAUUAGUAGACGAUAAGACCCUUUAAAACUUUAUUCAUUAUAGAAGUAUAAUUUUGUUAGGUUUUAAUAGUGUACUUUUUUAAUGAGUUUUGUUGGGGCGACAGGUAAAUUUAUUUAACUUUAUUUUUGUUUUUCACUAAUUAGUGUUUAUUUGAUCCAGGUUUAGUUUUGAUUAUAAGUUUAAGUUACUUAA